UUAGAUGAGGCGUGAUGACGAGGAUCCUCGGAUCCGAAGUGAGUGAUACCCAGCUUCCAGGAAAAGCCUCUAAGCUUCAGUCAUAGAGUGACCGUACCGCCAACCGACACAGGUGGGCUGGUAGAGAAUACCAAGGCGCUUGAGAGAACUCAGGAGAAGGAACUCGGCAAAUUGAUACCGUAACUUCGGGAGAAGGUAUGCCCCUGGUACGUGAAGGCCCUCGCGGCCGGAGCGGAACGGGGUCGCAGAGAAUCGGUGGCUGCGACUGUUUAUUAAAAACACAGCACUCUGCAAACACGAAAGUGGACGUAUAGGGUGUGACGCCUGCCCGGUGCCGGAAGGUUAAGUGAUGGGGUGCAAGCUCUUGAUCGAAGCCCCGGUAAACGGCGGCCGUAACGAUAACGGUCCUAAGGUAGCGAAAUUCCUUGUCGGGUAAGUUCCGACCUGCACGAAUGGCGUAACGAUGGCCACACUGUCUCCUCCUGAGACUCAGCGAAGUUGAAAUGUUUGUGAAGAUGCAAUCUCCCCGCGGCUAGACGGAAAGACCCCAUGAACCUUUACUGUAGCUUUGCAUUGGACUUUGACGGGACUUGUGUAGGAUAGGUGGGAGGCUAUGAAACCGGGACGCCAGUUCCGGUGGAGCCAUCCUUGAAAUACCACCCUGGUGUCGUCGAGGUUCUAACCCAGGCCUGUGAAUCCAGGUCGGGGACCGUGCAUGGUGGGCAGUUUGACUGGGGCGGUCUCCUCCCAAAAGGUAACGGAGGAGUACGAAGGUCACCUAGGUACGGUCGGACAUCGUACUAAUAGUGCAAUGGCAAAAGGUGGCUUGACUGCGAGACCCACAAGUCGAGCAGGUGCGAAAGCAGGUCAUAGUGAUCCGGUGGUUUUGUAUGGAAGGGCCAUCGCUCAACGGAUAAAAGGUACUCUGGGGAUAACAGGCUGAUUCCGCCCAAGAGUUCAUAUCGACGGCGGAGUUUGGCACCUCGAUGUCGGCUCAUCACAUCCUGGGGCUGUAGCCGGUCCCAAGGGUAUGGCUGUUCGCCAUUUAAAGUGGUACGUGAGCUGGGUUUAAAACGUCGUGAGACAGUUUGGUCCCUAUCUGCCGUGGGCGCUGGAAGUUUGAGAGGGCCUGCUCCUAGUACGAGAGGACCGGAGUGGACGCACCCCUGGUGUACCGGUUGUGACGCCAGUCGCAUCGCCGGGUAGCUAUGUGCGGAAGAGAUAACCGCUGAAAGCAUCUAAGCGGGAAACUCGCCUCAAGAUGAGACUUCCCCGGGGCCUCGAGCCCCCUGAAGGGUCGUUGAAGACCACAACGUUGAUAGGCCGGGUGUGUAAGCGUGGCAACACGUUCAGCUAACCGGUACUAAUUGCCCGUGUGGCUUGAUCC
rnacentral:rRNA from 1 species